rnacentral:rRNA from 1 species
GCGGUAACAGAGAGUAGCUUGCUACUUUGCUGACGAGCGGCGGACGGGUGAGUAAUGCUUGGGAAUAUGCCUUAUGGUGGGGGACAACAGUUGGAAACGACUGCUAAUACCGCAUGAUGUCUUUGGACCAAAGUGGGGGACCUUCGGGCCUCACGCCAUAAGAUUAGCCCAAGUGGGAUUAGCUAGUUGGUGAGGUAAUGGCUCACCAAGGCGACGAUCCCUAGCUGGUUUGAGAGGAUGAUCAGCCACACUGGGACUGAGACACGGCCCAGACUCCUACGGGAGGCAGCAGUGGGGAAUAUUGCACAAUGGGCGCAAGCCUGAUGCAGCCAUGCCGCGUGUGUGAAGAAGGCCUUCGGGUUGUAAAGCACUUUCAGUAAGGAGGAAAGGUUAAGUGUUAAUAGCACUUAGCUGUGACGUUACUUACAGAAGAAGCACCGGCUAACUCCGUGCCAGCAGCCGCGGUAAUACGGAGGGUGCGAGCGUUAAUCGGAAUUACUGGGCGUAAAGCGUACGCAGGCGGUUUGUUAAGCGAGAUGUGAAAGCCCCGGGCUCAACCUGGGAACUGCAUUUCGAACUGGCAAACUAGAGUGUGAUAGAGGGUGGUAGAAUUUCAGGUGUAGCGGUGAAAUGCGUAGAGAUCUGAAGGAAUACCGAUGGCGAAGGCAGCCACCUGGGUCAACACUGACGCUCAUGUACGAAAGCGUGGGGGAGCAAACAGGAUUAGAUACCCUGGUAGUCCACGCCGUAAACGAUGUCUACUAGAAGCUCGACUCUUCGGAGUUGUUUUUCAAAGCUAA